UGCAGCGACGUUAGUACGUUGAAUGCAUCACUACAGUUCCCAAUAGAUCACUGAAGUUAAGCUACGUUGCCUGCGGUUGGCAUCCGGGUGGAUGACCAUCUGGGCAAUCGCAAUUUUCUGACU
rnacentral:rRNA from 1 species